rnacentral:rRNA from 1 species
AGUGAACGCUGGCGGUAGGCCUAACACAUGCAAGUCGAACGGCAGCACAGUAAGAGCUUGCUCUUACGGGUGGCGAGUGGCGGACGGGUGAGGAAUACAUCGGAAUCUACUUUUUCGUGGGGGAUAACGUAGGGAAACUUACGCUAAUACCGCAUACGACCUACGGGUGAAAGCAGGGGAUCUUCGGACCUUGCGCGAUUGAAUGAGCCGAUGUCGGAUUAGCUAGUUGGCGGCGUAAAGGCCCACCAAGGCGACGAUCCGUAGCUGGUCUGAGAGGAUGAUCAGCCACACUGGAACUGAGACACGGUCCAGACUCCUACGGGAGGCAGCAGUGGGGAAUAUUAGACUAUGGGCGCAAGCCUGAUCCAGCCAUACCGCGUGGGUGAAGAAGGCCUUCGGGUUGUAAAGCCCUUUUGUUGGGAAAGAAAAGCAGCAGGUUAAUACCCCGCUGUUCUGACGGUACCCAAAGAAUAAGCACCGGCUAACUUCGUG